rnacentral:rRNA from 1 species
GACGAACGCUGGCGGCGUGCUUAACACAUGCAAGUCGAACGAUGAGGCCUAGCUUGCUAGGUGGAUUAGUGGCGCACGGGUGAGUAAUACGUGAGUAACCUACCUUUAACUCUGGGAUAAGCCCGGGAAACUGGGUCUAAUACCGGAUACGACCAAUCUCCGCAUGGGGUGUUGGUGGAAAGCGUUAUGUAGUGGUUAUAGAUGGGCUCACGGCCUAUCAGCUUGUUGGUGAGGUAACGGCUCACCAAGGCGACGACGGGUAGCCGGCCGGAGAGGGUGACGGGCCACACGGGACUGAGACACGGCCCAGACUCCUACGGGAGGCAGCAGUGGGGAAUAUUGCACAAUGGGCGCAAGCCUGAUGCAGCGACGCCGCGGGAGGGAUGACGGCCUUCGGGUUGUAAACCUCUGUUAGCAGGGAAGAAGAGAGAUUGACGGUACCUGCAGAGAAAGCGCCGGCUAACUACGUG